CCUACGGGAGGCAGCAGUGGGGAAUAUUGCACAAUGGGCGCAAGCCUGAUGCAGCCAUGCCGCGUGUGUGCAGAAGGCCUUCGGGUUGUAAAGCACUUUCAGCGGGGAGGAAGGCGUUAAGGUUAAUAACCUUGUCGAUUGACGUUACCCGCAGAAGAAGCACCGGCUAACUCCGUGCCAGCAGCCGCGGUAAUACGGAGGGUGCAAGCGUUAAUCGGAAUUACUGGGCGUAAAGCGCACGCAGGCGGUCUGUCAAGUCGGAUGUGAAAUCCCCGGGCUCAACCUGGGAACUGCAUUCGAAACUGGCAGGGUAGAGUCUUGUAGAGGGGGGUAGAAGUCCAGGUGUAGCGGUGAAAUGCGUAGAGAUCUGGAGGAGUACCGGUGGCGAAGGCGGCCCCCUGGACAAAGACUGACGCUCAGGUUCGAAAGCGUGGGGAGCAAACAGGAUUAGAUACCCGAGUAGUC
rnacentral:rRNA from 1 species